CAGUCUCCAACGCCUGCUCCAAGGGUACCUAUACAUAAACAUUUAUUUCACAAAACUCAUUAAAGCAAACAUCCUAUCAUGUUAAGACUCCUAGACACGUCCGGACAUAGAAUGUAUGUAGAGUUGGGGCGGGUUGUGUACUUGUGAUGGCCCCUACUGCUUUGCAAAGCCAUUGCCGAGGGGUUCCACCCGACCAUACACAAGGCUAGUCCGUUACAGCGAAAUAGACCUCUAGUGAUAGCGCCUACCCUAGGACCUCCCACUACUCCCACCACACGCGUCAAUCCUCUCUAAGUGAGAAUGAAAGACCGUUGGAGUGUUAGGGAUAACCCCCC
rnacentral:lncRNA from 1 species